rnacentral:rRNA from 1 species
CGGGUGAGCAACGCGUGAGGAACCUGCCUCAAAGAGGGGGACAACAGUUGGAAACGACUGCUAAUACCGCAUAAGCCCACGGCUCGGCAUCGAGCAGAGGGAAAAGGAGUGAUCCGCUUUGAGAUGGCCUCGCGUCCGAUUAGCUAGUUGGUGAGGUAACGGCCCACCAAGGCAACGAUCGGUAGCCGGACUGAGAGGUUGAACGGCCACAUUGGGACUGAGACACGGUCCAA